AUUGAACGCUGGCGGCAGGCUUAACACAUGCAAGUCGAGCGGGGGAAGGUAGCUUGCUACCGGACCUAGCGGCGGACGGGUGAGUAAUGCUUAGGAAUCUGCCUAUUAGUGGGGGACAACAUCUCGAAAGGGAUGCUAAUACCGCAUACGUCCUACGGGAGAAAGCAGGGGAUCUUCGGACCUUGCGCUGAUAGAUGAGCCUAAGUCGGAUUAGCUAGUUGGUGGGGUAAAGGCCUACCAAGGCGACGAUCUGUAGCGGGUCUGAGAGGAUGAUCCGCCACACUGGGACUGAGACACGGCCCAGACUCCUACGGGAGGCAGCAGUGGGGAAUAUUGGACAAUGGGGGGAACCCUGAUCCAGCCAUGCCGCGUGUGUGAAGAAGGCCUCAUGGUUGUAAAGCACUUUAAGCGAGGAGGAGGCUACUCUAGUUAAUACCUAGGGAUAGUGGACGUUACUCGCAGAAUAAGCACCGGCUAACUCUGUGCCAGCCGCCGCGGUAA
rnacentral:rRNA from 1 species